AGAACGGCUCGUCCCGGUCCGGGGAGAGCAGGGCAGAUGACGGGGGGUCCCCGGUCCCUCUGCCCGGCACAGGGCGGCCGGGGGGGGCCGGGGGGCAGCGGGGAAAAAACGAACCCCGGCCGCUGGGAGAGCCCGCUACCGGGGGGAGUCAGAAGUGACUCGUCGGGGUGGUCUCACUCUCGGUUCUGUCCUUACGGAUUUCCAGCCCACCGGAAAGUUUCUCACCCGAGCUUUUGAAUAUUUUAUGAAAAUUUGAAUAUUUUACCGUAACCACUCAUUUUCCCGGAAGCCCAAACGAAGCCUGGGGAGCAGAUCUGCUCCCCACCCCGCUUCGCCCGACCGAAGCGGAAGGGCGGCAUGGCUUCAGUGCCGGGACCCCCCCAACCUCACCGGGAACUGCCCUGGGAGCAGAAUCGGGCCCCUCGGGAGCUCGGUAUCUCCCCCGGACGAGUAAAUAACCGAGCGACCUCAAGUCCAAAAGGCGGUUACAUUUGGAAAAAAAAAAAAACAAACCAACAAAACACCAAAAACCCCGGUUGCUGCUGCUUUUUUACAGCGAUAUCCCAGCAUUUCCUGGCUCUGAACUUUUUUGCUUAAUUGCACCGUUUGACCUUCUGCUAAAAGGAGGCGAUUCUUCGCUUCUUUCUAUAUGUCAAAUAAUUCCGUAUGUGCCGGGAGUAAUAAAAGUACCAGCAGACACCCAGGGUGCCGAGUAUUUGCAUUCGGUACUUUUAACGACGAGAUUUAAAAUCGCUGAAUUUAAUUAUGCCAAAGAGGAGGACAACACGGUCGACUGCAGAGCUCCAAGUACCUGAAUUUACGCCCAAAUCUACGCGAAGUCUGACAAGAGACGAAACCGCUAGCCCGGUGCCACUGGGGCGGGAGAGGGACGGGGAGGGGCGGGACACACAUAAAAAUAGGGGCUGGGGGACAUCUCCGAGGGAAAAGGUGUCCGAAAACGGGACGCUGAGAAACCUGACGUCGAGGGGAUGAGCUGGAUGUUGAGCCUGGGACGAAAGCGAGCCGUCACACAGAGAUUUAGUUAUUAUCAGUCAAAUCUUUGGACCGGGGAACGAAAAGGGGAGAGAAACUUCAUAUGUGCGGCUGGAGAGAAGCGGCCCGGGGGCCCACGGUGGCGGGGGGGCAUUUCUGAAAUUACACCCCCUGCUCCUGGCCACAGCUUUGAAAUAAUGAAAGUUUAAAAAAAAAAAAAAGAAAGAAAGAAAGAAA